CAGCAAUGGCACAAGCCACGGACAGUGGGUGUGAAGCCAGGACCCAUCAACUCCAUGAUCUUCACUAAGCCGGUACCAAAUAGGAUGGCCCAGACUGGAGUACGGAGUGGCUUCUACAGAGGCAUGGUGGGUCCGUUACCAGAUCCCUGCUUGUUCAGAAUAACGGAGGCAUAUGCAAAAUUUAAUAUUGAGGACAGGCCACUUGUGACCACAAUGAACAUGAGACCUGACAAGCCCCUUGUGGAAAGUGCCUUUGGGCUGGUGCAGGAGGGCAGUGUUCUGUCAUAUCAGCAGCCGGUUUUGACAACCCGGUACAUCACACUACACCGUGAUGCACCACCAACACCGCACUUGCCUCUGGAGGGGUAUGACAUCUUGCCAUCAGAGUGUGUGUUUGUGUGCUCAGAAGAAGAGCUUCUGCAUCUGAAAAGCUUGUCUGUAACUCUGGAAAUGGCUCACAAAAUAGAGGAAGCUACACGUGAGCAAAGCUCUUCACCUGA